rnacentral:rRNA from 12 species
CCCCGUGGCUAUGUCGGAGGUUCCACACCCGAUCCCAUUCCGAACUCGGUCGUUAAGCCCUCCAGAGCCAAUGGUACUUCGUCUCAAGGCGCGGGAGAGUAGGUCGCCGCGGGGU